rnacentral:rRNA from 1 species
AGCGAACGCUGGCGGCAGGCCUAACACAUGCAAGUCGAACGAACCUUUCGGGGUUAGUGGCGGACGGGUGAGUAACACGUGGGAACGUGCAUUUAAGUUUGGAAUAACUCAGGGAAACUUGUGCUAAUACCGAAUGUGCCCUUCGGGGGAAAGAUUUAUCGCCUUUAGAGCGGCCCGCGUCUGAUUAGCUAGUUGGUUGAGGUAAUGGCUCACCAAGGCGACGAUCAGUAGCUGGUAUGAGAGGAUGAUCAGACACAUUGGGACUGAGACACGGCCCAAACUCCUACGGGAGGCAGCAGUGGGGAAUCUUGCGCAAUGGGCGAAAGCCUGACGCAGCCAUGCCGCGUGAAUGAUGAAGGUCUUAGGAUUGUAAAAUUCUUUCACCGGGGACGAUAAUGACGGUACCCGGAGAAGAAGCCCCGGCUAACUUCGUG